AAAGAAUGAAGAACUCAAAAGGAACACUGUAUACAUUUCUUGAGCAUUUCAGAGCGAGUUGUGUCUGAAUUCAUUAAUUUUAUCGCAUUCUAGUACAUAAUGAGGCAAGGUGUGACAGUUAUCCAUCAAAGUUUACAGUACCAGGAUCACUCGCAUACCUCUUGCUGCCAUGGUUACUACCCAGAGAUGAUGAAAAGAUCAAAAGUCGAUUCACAAACACAGGUCAAGUGUGGUAUUGGAUGCUCACGACCAAAACACUGGAUGAGGAAGAUUGUGCACGUUAUGUAGGCCUUCCCCAUAAGACAAUGGACCUGCCCUGAGGUUCGUUGUGGGAUGAAAGGGAAGAAGAGUGCCACAUAUCCCUUACAUGUGCUCCAUCAUGUAAACUGAUUUUCACAGUUUUUACACUGAAAAUAUGCAGCAAUUUUGCAACCAUGUUAGAGCAAAAACGUUAACAGAUUGUUAUCCAUUGGUCUACUGUACAUUACAUUUUGUAAUCCUGUCCCUAGGCCAUAAAUUCAUGUAAAUUUUACCAUAUACGAGUGACCCUUGCACUUAUGAGUGGCAGUUGGUUUUAGAUCAAAGAUUCCCAGUGUGAGGUGUACGCCCCACAGGGGAACAAUUUGAAUGUUUUGGGGGCAAUUUAAAAUUGUUACAAUAAAAUAAUCAUAAUCAAACCUGUAAUUCUUUAAACAAUUAAACUUGAUAAAAGCAGUAUUGUAUGUACUAAUAGGAUAUUCAAUUCUCUCUUAUUCAUUGUAGCUCCUAAAUUUAUAUUUACAAUCACCUAAGAGACUGUGUAUAAAACCACUCAUUUUGUCAUUGCCUUAUUAAUCUUAAGUUAUUCUUAAGUUUGCUCAAAAUGCUCUGUAUAUUAAGGGGCUUUCUACAUGCACACUGAAAUGUCAUUUACUGCUGUACAAGCAUUGUAUCAUGCUAAAAUAAACUAUCUUAUCUUUC